rnacentral:rRNA from 1 species
UGGGGAAUUUUGGACAAUGGGCGCAAGCCUGAUCCAGCCAUGCCGCGUGCAGGAUGACGGUCCUAUGGAUUGUAAACUGCUUUUGUACAGGAAGAAACAGUUCUACGUGUAGAACCUUGACGGUACUGUAAGAAUAAGGAUCGGCUAACUCCGUGCCAGCAGCCGCGGUAAUACGGAGGAUCCAAGCGUUAUCCGGAAUCAUUGGGUUUAAAGGGUCCGUAGGCGGUUAGAUAAGUCAGUGGUGAAAGCCCAUCGCUCAACGGUGGAACGGCCAUUGAUACUGUCUGACUUGAAUUAUUAGGAAGUAACUAGAAUAUGUAGUGUAGCGGUGAAAUGCUUAGAGAUUACAUGGAAUACCAAUUGCGAAGGCAGGUUACUACUAAUGGAUUGACGCUGAUGGACGAAAGCGUGGGUAGCGAACAGGAUUAGAUACCCGUGUAGUCCCUGAGCGGGCUGGCAAGGCGCAU